UACGGAGGGGGCUAGCGUUGUUCGGAAUUACUGGGCGUAAAGCGCACGUAGGCGGCUUUGUAAGUUAGAGGUGAAAGCCCGGGGCUCAACUCCGGAAUUGCCUUUAAGACUGCAUCGCUAGAAUUGUGGAGAGGUAAGUGGAAUUCCGAGUGUAGAGGUGAAAUUCGUAGAUAUUCGGAAGAACUCCAGUGGCGAAGGCGACUUACUGGACACAUAUUGACGCUGAGGUGCGAAAGCGUGGGGAGCAAACAGG
rnacentral:rRNA from 1 species